rnacentral:rRNA from 1 species
GACGAACGCUGGCGGCGUGCCUAAUACAUGCAAGUCGAACGAGAGCAACCGGUGCUUGCCCUGGUCAAUCUAGUGGCGAACGGGUGAGUAACACGUGGGUAACCUGCCCAUCAGAGGGGGAUAACAUCCGGAAACGGAUGCUAAAACCGCAUAGGUCUUCGAACCGCAUGGUUUGAAGAGGAAAAGAGGCGCAAGCUUCUGCUGAUGGAUGGACCCGCGGUGCAUUAGCUAGUUGGUGAGGUAACGGCUCACCAAGGCCGUGAUGCAUAGCCGACCUGAGAGGGUGGACGGCCACAUUGGGACUGAGACACGGCCCAAACUCCGACGGGAGGCAGCAGUAGGGAAUCUUACGCAAUGGACGCAAGUCUGACGGAGCAACGCCGCGUGAGUGAAGAAGGUGUUCGGAUCGUAAAACUCUGUUGUUAGAGAAGAACAAGUGCUAGAGUAACUGUUAGCGCCUUGACGGUAUCUAACCAGAAAGCCACGGCUAACUACGUG